rnacentral:rRNA from 1 species
AAGGCUUCAGUACGACCCAGUCAGAACCAUAAGUCUCAAAGCCCCGACGAGUAGGGUGGCGUGCCGGUGCGCGUUGAAGGCCAAGACGUGAGUCAGGCUGGAGCCGCCGGUAGUGCAGAUCUUGGUGGUAGUAGCAAGUACUCUGGUGAACCAACCUGGAGCUGUGAGGUCUGGAUCAGGGUUCCAUGUCAACAGUGAUUGAACAUGGGUGAGUCGAUCCUAAGCCAACUGUGAAAGCAGUGACAUCCCGACAACGGGGCAGUACGCGCGCUGCACUUACACCCCCAAUCACGAGGCUCUCGUUUGCAUAUAUAUCUCUCUCUCUCUGUGGCUGGCUUUGCGCGUACACACGCACACGGUGAUCACAGUAAAUAAAAAUUACUUGUGAGUGCGUGUGUCGCGCUCGUUUCUGAUUACGCUCAUAAGCGUUGGUUCUCUGAAAGUGUGGUCCACAAACACACACACACGCGCACUGCCAAAGGAAUUAGGAGAGAGAGAAAGAGGGUCUCUGGGUGAGCGUCGAGUGACUUGCGUGAGUCCCCUGCGUCUGGUUCCAUGUCUGGCGAAAGGGAAUGGGGACUUUGUUCCUUGACCGGUCCCGGCACCCUCGAUUGGCUCCGCCAAUUCAUGGUCCAUGCAAAUGGAACCAGGCCACAGCCGCCGGCAGUCGCCCGAGGAAGAGUUUUCUUUUCUGCUUAACGCGCGAGGUCAUCCCUGGAAACAGUUCGGCUGGCGAAAGGGUGUCCCGUUGCGGCAGAGCGCCACGACUGUCGUGCGCGUCUCGGUGUUCCUGCCGGUCCGUGAAGACGUGGUCGAGGGGAUUGCUAUCUUGUAUCAACGAAACGUCCGACAAGUUCGGGACGGACCGUACCCUAUAUCCGCAUCUGGUCUCCAAGGUUCGUAGCCUCUGCAGAGUCAGACACAUGUAGGUAAGGGAAGUCGGCAAACUCGAUCCGUAACUUCGGGAAAAGGAUUGGCUCUGAGGGCCGAGCUGGGCCGGGCCUUGCCUGCAAAGCAGUACCUAUAGUGACCGGAGUUUCAGGAGUGCGAGGGGCUCUAGUAGCUGCUCGUGCGUGUGUGUGCGUUCGCGCGUGCGCGCGCGUGUGGGCACGAACGAGUCCACCGCUCCGCUCCAACCACGAACGGCUGUGACGGCAAGGGCUCUGGGCGGGAGCGAUCAAUCCGUUGGCCUCCAGCUCGUCUGGCUGGCGGCGGUGCUCCGUCUGACCCAUACGGCUCCAGCGGCUAGCGGCUAACUCAGAACUGUCAUGGACCAAGGGAAUCCGACUGUCUAAUUAAAACAAAGCGUCGUGACGGCCCCUGGUUGGGUGUUGACCCCACCUGAUUUC